rnacentral:lncRNA from 1 species
CACACUGUGGGUUUUUUUUCAGUGCCGUCCUUCUCUUUUCCCCUCCACCCUUCUGCUUCAGCUCACGUGACUGGACUUUGCACUCGUUUACUGAUAAUACAAGCUCAGCCAUCUUGUUUGAAAACUAGAGGCAGAAACAGAAACAAUUCCGUGCUGCAAGGGUACUCUCCACGUGGAUUUGGUGUUUUUGGGUGUUCAGUCCCUGUCAGACCAGCAGCUGAGGCUGUUCUAAUACCAGGAGAACCACAGUAGCCAGUGGGAGAAGCACUGCAUACCGCUGCCUGGUGGAAACCGUACUUGGUGGGGAAAGAAGUCAAGGAAGGAGGAAGAGCAGCAGCAGGAGUAGUGAUGGAGCGGUAGUGGAAACAGCAGCACCUGGGCAAGCAGAAUUGGAUGAAUCAAGCAGCCACAUCCAAGAGGUAUUCAGUCUGAAUCUGU